rnacentral:misc_RNA from 1 species
GAUGAAGAACGUAGCGAAAUGCGAUACUUGGUGUGAAUUGCAGAAUCCCGUGAACCAUCGAGUCUUUGAACGCAAGUUGCGCCCGAAGCCAUCAGGUUGAGGGCACGUCUGCCUGGGCGUCACAUAUCGUUGCCCAAUGCCUAUUGCAGUGCAAUAGGAAUUUCUAGGGCGAAUGAUGGCUUCCCGUGAGCGUUGUUGCCUCGCGGUUGGUUGAAAAUCGAGUCCUUGGUAGGGUGUGCCAUGGUAGAUGGUGGUCGAGUUAGAACGAUACCGAUCAUGUGCAUGCUCCCCAAAAUAUGGCCUCUAUGACCCACACGCGUCUUUUGACGCUCAUGACGAGACCUCAGGUCAGGCGGGGCUACCCGCUGAAUUUAAGCAUAUCAUAAGCGGAGGA